GGAUGUAGCUCAGUUGCAGAGCAUGUGUUUAGUAUGCACAAGGGCCUGGGUUCAACCCCCAACACCA
rnacentral:tRNA from 1 species